rnacentral:rRNA from 1 species
AGAGUUUGAUCAUGGCUCAGGACGAACGCUGGCGGCGCGCCUAAAACAUGCAAGUCGAGCGAGAACCGGGGCUUCGGCUCCGGGGAGAGCGGCGAACGGGUGCGUAACACGUGAGCAACCUGCCCCGAAGACCGGGACAACACCGGGAAACCGGUGCUAAUACCGGAUGUCCUCACCAGAUCGCAUGGUCUAGUGAGGAAAUGGAUUCCGCUUCGGGAUGGGCUCGCGGUCUAUCAGCUUGUUGGUGGGGUAACGGCCUACCAAGGCGACGACGGAUAGCUGGUCUGAGAGGACGAUCAGCCACACUGGGACUGAGACACGGCCCAGACUCCUACGGGAGGCAGCAGUUAGGAAUCUUGCGCAAUGGGGGAAACCCUGACGCAGCGACGCCGCGUGCGGGAUGAAGGCCUUCGGGUUGUAAACCGCUUUCAGGAGGGACGAAAUUGACGGUACCUCCAGAAGAAGGCCCGGCCAACUACGUGCCAGCAGCCGCGGUAAUACGUAGGGGCCUAGCGUUGUCCGGAUUUAUUGGGCGUAAAGAGCUCGUAGGCGGUUCGGCAAGUCGGAUGUGAAAUCUCCACGCUCAACGUGGAGGGGCCAUUCGAAACUGCUGUGACUUGAGUCCGGUAGGGGGGUGUGGAAUUCCCGGUGUAGCGGUGAAAUGCGCAGAUAUCGGGAGGAACACCAGUAGCGAAGGCGGCACCCUGGGCCGGUACUGACGCUGAGGAGCGAAAGCGUGGGGAGCAAACAGGAUUAGAUACCCUAGUAGUCC